GGGCGGGCGGCCGGGCCGGGGCCGGAGCGCCGGGCGCGCGCCAUGGAGGGGCUGCGCCGGGGCCUGUCGCGCUGGAAGCGCUACCACAUCAAGGUGCACCUGGCGGACGAGGCGCUGCUGCUGCCGCUCACGGUGCGGCCGCGGGACACGCUCAGCGACCUGCGCGCGCAGCUCGUGGGCCAGGGCGUGUGCUCCUGGAAGCGCACCUUCUACUACAACGCGCGGCGGCUGGACGACCACCAGACGGUGCGCGACGUGCGCCUGCAGGACGGCUCCGUGCUGCUGCUCGUCAGCGACCCCAGGCUGUAAACUCGAUGAACACUCUAUUGUCCCUCCUGCUCUCUGCCAUGUUCCCAGUUCAGUGCCCGGCACAUAGUAGUUGGCGGAGGUGGAGGCGUGACGUGGUGGAGGUGACGGCUGAGGGAGCAGGUUGGGGCAGGAGCCCCGACUUCACUCUGGGUAAAUCU